CCUACGGGUGGCAGCAGUAGGGAAUUUUCGGCAAUGGGGGGAACCCUGACCGAGCAACGCCGCGUGAACGAAGACGUUCUUCGUAAUGUAAAGUUCUUUUAACAGGGAAGAAAGAGAAAUUUGACGGUACCUGAAGAAUAAGCCCUGACUAACUACGUGCCAUCAGCCGCGGUAAUGCGUAGGGAGCGAGCGUUAUCCGGAUUUAUUGGGCGUAAAGGGGUCGUAGAGGGCAGAGUAAGUCGUUUGUAAAAAUGCUGGGCUCAACCCAGUAGGGCAACAGAUACUGCGAAGCUAGAGUAUGACAGAGGCAAGGGGAACUACAGGUGUAGCGGUGAAAUGCGUAGAUAUAAGUAAGAACACCAGUGGCGAAGGCGGCUUGCUGGGUCGAUACUGACGUUGAGGCACGAAAGCGUGGGGAGCAAACAGGAUUAGAUACCCCUGUAGUC
rnacentral:rRNA from 1 species